UGGACGCAUCGCUUCACUGCACACUGUUAGCUCACCUGUCCAAUAUAUUGAUGGACUGACCAGUGGCCGAGUCUUCUCUCUUAGUUAAAAACACGGGAGAUUACCAGACUAUUAAAUGAUCGUUGACUUCAUUGGUGUGUGAAUGUGGUGAUCCAGGAAUCUGCUUUCUGUCUGUGAUGUUUUUACCUGUUCUUCUUCACAUAAGAUAUUAUGUGGACAUGCUACC